AGUGAACGCUGGCGGUAGGCCUAACACAUGCAAGUCGAACGGCAGCACAGAGGAGCUUGCUCCUUGGGUGGCGAGUGGCGGACGGGUGAGGAAUACAUCGGAAUCUACUCUGUCGUGGGGGAUAACGUAGGGAAACUUACGCUAAUACCGCAUACGACCUACGGGUGAAAGCAGGGGAUCUUCGGACCUUGCGCGAUUGAAUGAGCCGAUGUCGGAUUAGCUAGUUGGCGGGGUAAAGGCCCACCAAGGCGACGAUCCGUAGCUGGUCUGAGAGGAUGAUCAGCCACACUGGAACUGAGACACGGUCCAGACUCCUACGGGAGGCAGCAGUGGGGAAUAUUGGACAAUGGGCGCAAGCCUGAUCCAGCCAUACCGCGUGGGUGAAGAAGGCCUUCGGGUUGUAAAGCCCUUUUGUUGGGAAAGAAAUCCAGCCGGCUAAUACCUGGUUGGGAUGACGGUACCCAAAGAAUAAGCACCGGCUAACUUCGUGCCAGCAGCCGCGGUAAUACGAAGGGUGCAAGCGUUACUCGGAAUCACUGGGCGUAAAGCGUGCGUAGGUGGUUAUUUAAGUCCGUUGUGAAAGCCCUGGGCUCAACCUGGGAACUGCAGUGGAUACUGGAUGACUAGAAUGUGGUAGAGGGUAGCGGAAUUCCUGGUGUAGCAGUGAAAUGCGUAGAGAUCAGGAGGAACAUCCAUGGCGAAGGCAGCUACCUGGACCAACAUUGACACUGAGGCACGAAAGCGUGGGGAGCAAACAGG
rnacentral:rRNA from 1 species